GACGAACGCUGGCGGCGUGCCUAAUACAUGCAAGUUGAGCGCUGAAGGUUGGUACUUGUACCGACUGGAUGAGCAGCGAGCGGGUGAGUAACGCGUGGGGAAUCUGCCUUUGAGCGGGGGACAACAUUUGGAAACGAAUGCUAAUACCGCAUAAAAACUUUAAACACAAGUUUUAAGUUUGAAAGAUGCAAUUGCAUCACUCAAAGAUGAUCCCGCGUUGUAUUAGCUAGUUGGUGAGGUAAAGGCUCACCAAGGCGAUGAUACAUAGCCGACCUGAGAGGGUGAUCGGCCACAUUGGGACUGAGACACGGCCCAAACUCCUACGGGAGGCAGCAGUAGGGAAUCUUCGGCAAUGGACGAAAGUCUGACCGAGCAACGCCGCGUGAGUGAAGAAGGUUUUCGGAUCGUAAAACUCUGUUGGUAGAGAAGAACGUUGGUGAGAGUGGAAAGCUCAUCAAGCGACGGUAACUACCCAGAAAGGGACGGCUAACUACGUG
rnacentral:rRNA from 1 species